rnacentral:rRNA from 1 species
CUACGGGUGGCUGCAGUCGAGAAGCUUCCGCAAUGGGGGAAACCCUGACGGAGCGACGCCGCGUGAGCGAAGAAGGUCCUAUGGAUUGUAAAGCUCUGUCAGAUUGGGAAGAAAAGUCUACGGUUAAUACCCGUAGGCCUUGACGGUACCAUCAGAGGAAGCACCGGCUAACUCCGUGCCAGCAGCCGCGGUAAUACGGAGGGUGCAAGCGUUGUUCGGAUUCACUGGGUAUAAAGGGUGCGCAGGCGGCCUGAUAAGUCAGGGGUGAAAUAUGACGGCUCAACCGUCAAACUGCCCCUGAAACUGUCAGGCUUGAGUCCGGGAGAGGAAGGUGGAAUUCCUGGUGUAGCGGUGAAAUGCGUAAAUAUCAGGAGGAACACCGGUGGCGAAGGCGGCCUUCUGGCCCGGUACUGACGCUCAGGCACGAAAGCAUGGGGAGCGAACGGGAUUAGAUACCCGCGUAGUC